rnacentral:rRNA from 1 species
UACGGAGGGUGCAAACGUUGCUCGGAAUUACUGGGCGUAAAGCGCUCGUAGGCGGUUUGUCAAGUCAGAUGUGAAAUCCCCGGGCUCAACCUGGGAAGUGCAUUUGAAACUGGCAGGCUAGAGGUUGGGAGGGGGUAGCGGAAUUCCCGGUGUAGAGGUGAAAUUCGUAGAUAUCGGGAGGAACACCAGAGGCGAAGGCGGCUACCUGGACCAAUACUGACGCUGAGGAGCGAAAGCGUGGGGAG